rnacentral:rRNA from 1 species
UGUAAAAGGAGUGCUAUCCUGAAUGAGCCGAAUCCCUUCUGAUCUUGGAAGCGAAGCAGGGUCAGGCCUGGUUAGUACUUGGAUGGGAGACCACCUAGGAAGACCAGAUGCUAUAGGUG